GUUUGCCUGUCUGCCUGCCUGUCGAAAACCCUAAACCCUAACAAUUAUAUAUAUCUUUCUAUAUCUGCAAUUAGAUAGUAACCACCUACCACGAAGAACUCCGUCUUAUAGGCUGCCCAGAAGAAGAGCACCGUCGUCACAGCCAGGUUCUGUCAGAACUAUGUCGGAGGCACCUCGAGCAGCAUCAGUAGCAUCGGCCACAGCAAUUCCAAUAUCUGCUAUCUUCAGAGCAGAUACUAAAUGGUGCAUAAAAAGAGGCACCUGUAAUCAUUUUCACACUGACUCCAAGGUCAAGAGCUCUGCGUAUGGUUUCAGCACUAUCAUGACGGGGAGGAUCAAAGAGCGGGAGAAGACCAACAAAUUGCCAAGGCCCUCCAGGACUUUCCUUGGUCCCUUCAGCAUCUAAGUAUGUGAGUGCUGUCCUCUUGUCAGUUGGAUUAAAUGGGAGGAAAUGAACUUCUUGAAUGCCGGCACGUGCCUAGAAGUAGGCAGAAGAGAAUAAUAAGGUUGAACCAGAGUAGAUUCCAUCACCAGGGUGCUUGGUUACAGGUAGCGACUCUCCCAAAAGCCGUAGGGAAAUGCAGCAUGCAGAGAGGAAGAGAUUGAGCACGAGAAAGACCUGAUCAAUUUUUAGCGGAUCUCCCUCGAGAAGACGCGCAUCUGCUGGAAUGAUGUCUCCAAGUUUAAUGCUGAUUAUGUCACCAGGAACCAGCAAAGACGCGUCCAGUUCACUCCAGGUUCCAUCACGUAGAACCUAGAAAGGACGAAAUGGUAUUUGGAAGAAGGGGUGAAAGAAAGAAGAGAGCAGUAUUUGGAAGAAGGGGUGAAAGAAAGAAGAGAGCAGUAGGUAUGUUUUACCUUAGCUUUUGGGGCUAGGCGGGCCAUGAGCGCAGCAGCAGCAUUGCCAGCGUUGUUUUCCUCUAUGAAGCUAAUGGUGGAAUUGAUAAUGAGCAGUAGCAUGAUUCCGACAAA